rnacentral:rRNA from 1 species
AUUGAACGCUGACGGCAUGCUUUACACAUGCAAGUCGGACGGCAGCACAGAGAAGCUUGCUUCUUGGGUGGCGAGUGGCGAACGGGUGAGUAAUAUAUCGGAACGUACCGAGUAAUGGGGGAUAACUAAUCGAAAGAUUAGCUAAUACCGCAUAUUCUCUGAGGAGGAAAGCAGGGGACCUUCGGGCCUUGCGUUAUUCGAGCGGCCGAUAUCUGAUUAGCUAGUUGGUGGGGUAAAGGCCUACCAAGGCGACGAUCAGUAGCGGGUCUGAGAGGAUGAUCCGCCACACUGGGACUGAGACACGGCCCAGACUCCUACGGGAGGCAGCAGUGGGGAAUUUUGGACAAUGGGCGCAAGCCUGAUCCAGCCAUGCCGCGUGUCUGAAGAAGGCCUUCGGGUUGUAAAGGACUUUUGUCAGGGAAGAAAAGGCUGUUGCUAAUAUCAAUAGCUGAUGACGGUACCUGAAGAAUAAGCACCGGCUAACUACGUG